rnacentral:rRNA from 1 species
UUUAUCGGAGAGUUUGAUCCUGGCUCAGGACGAACGCUGGCGGCGUGCCUAAUACAUGCAAGUCGAGCGGACAGAUGGGAGCUUGCUCCCUGAUGUUAGCGGCGGACGGGUGAGUAACACGUGGGUAACCUGCCUGUAAGACUGGGAUAACUCCGGGAAACCGGGGCUAAUACCGGAUGGUUGUUUGAACCGCAUGGUUCAAACAUAAAAGGUGGCUUCGGCUACCACUUACAGAUGGACCCGCGGCGCA